CACUGGCCUAUACACAACUGUUUCAGGUUGUUGAACCUCGCCUAAUCUAAUAAAAUCCUUUUGAAUUAUGUUUUGCCCAGAAUCACUAUAUACGAGAAUGAUUUAUCUUCGUCUCUUUCUUACACAUUCCUUCUGCAUGAGAAUUGAGGAGGUCAAAGACUGAUAUAAAUGAAACGGUGAUACACUUAUCACAGGUGACAUGGUACUUCUUUACAAACAUGGUACAAUCUACAGGAAAACUCUUAGAAAUUCUUAAACUUAUUAUUCCAUGAAAUCGUAAUACCUGACAAAGAGGUUGCUGCCCAGUCUCUGUUUUGUUUGCAGUAGUUAAGCUACCACUAUUUUUUGUUUUCAGAAACUCCAAAUUUUCUACAUUGUUCGCCAGAUCCUGAAACUAUCUUGACGAAGCUUUAGUAUCUAUUUUGUAAGCUCAUGGAGAUUUUCGUUGGGUACAAUUUGCAUCAAAUAUCUUAUAUAUGUUGUGGACUAUUAUUACCUGUUGAUAAUGCUACUUCAGAAAACAUGUGAACGCCAUCCUAGGACAGAGAAAGAGGCGCUACUGGCUAGGGAUUACAUGAUAGCUACCACCGACUGAAAAUAUGAGAUAUGGAUUGACACGAAAACAAGGUUUCACAAAUUCCGUACUCCCAUAUAAUCUUGAAAAGGAUGAGUCAGCCUUUCCUUCAUGAGCUUAUUUUCUUUAUGAUUCAUGUACAGAGAAAGAAGAAACAAAAAUAAACAGCAUAGCUCAGACGACGAGAAUAGUGGUUUCUCUCAGCGCCGCAUACUUAGUUGGUGCAGCAUGCUCCUGGGACAUACCAGGCUAAGUGAUGUUCCAGAGUACACAUGGAAUGUGACUUGAUGGAAGUCAACGGCUUGACGGCGGGG
rnacentral:lncRNA from 1 species